GAAUUUGUUGCCAGUAGUCCUGCCUUGUAAGAAAUGUUAAAAGAACUUCUUCAGAGAAAAGGAAAAUGUUAUAGCUCAGAAAAUUGGGUGUGCCUCAAAAAAUGAAGAGUGACAGAAGGAAUCAGUGAAGAUUUUCAGAAUGAAUUUGACCACUGGAGCAGAGGCCCCUGUUUCUGAGUAUCCAGCCUCGUUGUGCGCUCCGGAAAGCAGAGCCUUGGGUGACCCCAGGUACUAAGGCUCCAACACUGGCCAGUCAUCAUGCAGCUGUCACAAACACCAUCACAUACUAGGCACUUAAUAAAUAUUUAUUGGAUAAGUGAAUAAAUGUCUUAGUUAACACAUACUGCAGCCCUGUGAGAUAAGAGUUAUUGCUUUAUUAUUCCUCAACUGAUGCUCAUUCAUUAGAGAGAAAUGCAGAUAUUAUAAAAGAAGAAAAUAAAA
rnacentral:lncRNA from 1 species